rnacentral:rRNA from 1 species
GACAGAGGGUGCAAGCGUUGUUCGGAAUUACUGGGCGUAAAGGGCGUGUAGGCGGUGAGGUGUGUCUGGUGUGAAAGCCCUCGGCUUAACCGAGGAAUGGCAUUAGAAACUACCUUGCUGGAGUGCAGGAGAGGAUGGCGGAAUUCCCAGUGUAGAGGUGAAAUUCGUAGAUACUGGGAGGAACACCGGAAGCGAAGGCGGCCAUCUGGUCUGUAACUGACGCUGAGACGCAAAAGCGUGGGGAGCAAACAGG